rnacentral:rRNA from 1 species
GACGAACGCUGGCGGCGUGCUUAACACAUGCAAGUCGAACGGAAAGGCCCUGCUUUUGUGGUUUUCUCGUUUGGCGAACGGGUGAGUAACACGUGUGUAACCUGCCCUUUUCUUUGUUUUAUCUUCUGGAAACUCGGUCUAUUACCCGAUAUGAUCUCCUGCUGCAUGUUUUUGUUUGGUAAUUUUCGGCGGUUGGGUUUGUACUCGCGGCUUUUCCGCUUGUUUGUGGGGUAGUGGCUUACCAAGGGUUUGACGGGUAGCCGGCCUGUGAGGGUGACCGGCGACAUUGGGACUGAGAUACGGCCCAGACUGCUACGGGAGGCAGCAGUGGGGAAUAUUGCACAAUGGGCGGAAGCAUGAUGCAGAAAAGCCGCGGGCGGGAUGACGGCCUUCGGGGUGUAAACAGAUUUAGAAUGUGAAGAAGAGUGAGUGACGGUAAUGGGUAAAGAAGCACCGGCUAACUACGUG